CACGAGGAAACUUACCAGGUCCAAACAUAGUAAGGAUUGACAGACUGAGAGCUCUUUCUUGAUUCUAUGGGUGGUGGUGCAUGGCCGUUCUUAGUUGGUGGAGCGAUUUUUCUGGUUAAUUCCGUUAAAGAACGAGACCUCAGCCUGCUAACUAGCUACGUGGAGGCAUCCCUUCACGGCCAGCUUCUUAGAGGGACUAUGGCCGUUUAGGCCAAAGAAGUUUGAGGCAAUAUCAGGUAUGUGAUGCCCUUAGAUGUUUUGGGCCGCACGCGCGCUACACUGAUAUAUUCAACGAGUUCACAUCUUGGCCGACAGGCCCGGGUAAUCUUUGAAAUUUCAUCGUGAUAGGGAUAGAUCAUUGUAAUUGUUGGUCUUCAACGAGGAAUUCCUAGUAAGCGCGAGUCAUCAGCUCGCGUUGACUACAUCCUUGCCCUUUGUACACACCGCCCAUCGCUCCUAUCGAUUGAAUGAUCCGGUGAAGUGUUCGGAUCGCGGCGACGUGGGUGGUUCGCCGCCUGCGACGUCACGAGAAGUCCACUAAACCUUAUAAUUUAGAGGAAGGAAAAUUCGUAACAAGGUUUACGUAGGUGAACCUGUGGAAGGAUCAUUG
rnacentral:ncRNA from 1 species